UUACACACAACAAUACACUUUUCAAAUUCACAUUAUUUUAAAAUACUUUUCUCCUAACGCCAGUCGAGCGUAGUGUGAGUGGCAGAGAGUUGAGAAUGUCCGCUAUCACGAACCAAUUAGUGGCGUUUGCCAUUUAACUCUACACCACUUUUAAUUAAAUUACCAGCUAAGCAUACGCUGUGCAUCAUUUCUCAACAUGAAAAGGCAUUAGCGCGAAAAUUAAAUAAAAAUGUACUCUUGCAGUUCUCACUUUGUGGUCACGAGCGAAAGGAGCUUGGGAGGCUGUGAUUGUGAUGGAAAUAGAAAUUAGACAACACUCCAACAAGUCUAGCGAUAACAUAAAAUUAUCAGAUGUUCAAUUCGAAUACGACAACUUAUUAAUGCAACCUCUACCAUUACCGGAAAUUAUAAUCUCAAUAUGUUUACUACCGAAAGCCCUGGAGUUCAGCAAACUUUAAAACAAGCAAAGAAUUCGACGGCAGACAUAUAAAUAUUUUCCCUACAAAUUCGUGUAUGUAUGUAUGUAUGCUGGAAGAACACAAAAGUCAUCACGAAAGUAAAGCUAUGAACGCCAAAGUCAAUGAAGUUUGAUUUUCAUGUUGACAAUGAGCAAAUAGAUGCGCAACGAGCACAUUCAGCUUGUGACAGACGUUUCUCAUAAAUGCAUAUACAUACAUACAUACAGAUAUAUCAAUAACUACCAGUGAGCAUAUUUUUCUUAACGAACUGCAGACUUGCACAGCUUCACUCUGCAUCACACUACUACGAAUGGACGGCAGUGGCACUCAAGCUGUUACAGUGGACUGUCAACUGUAUUUGGCAGACUAUAGCGAGUGCAGCAGCUCCUUGGCAUUUGCAUCGAAUCACAAAGUUAGCUUUGUGGUAGCCGUUUGUGCUUUUUGCCAAAGCUAGCAAGCUAUCAUAUCAAAGGCGACACAGGAUAAGAUCAAACAAGGAAGCAAUCAAAUGGAGAAGCUAAUGUCAGCGUUUUGUGCAUCGCUGAGCAAACAGUUAGUAGAAAAUUGUGAGAAAAAUGCAAAUCGAAAGGCGAGCAAUAGAAAAAUAUGAUUCCUUGCUAGUGCAAAUGAGUGUCCUGAACUAAAUAUGGCGCAUAAAGUGAAGAAGCCAUUCAGGUCCGGUUGGCAAAUAUUACAUUGAAGAAGUUUGCAAGCACAAAACUUAUUUUUCAUAUUAUACACAUAUAUUUUACAUUUUGUAUGCUAGAAACAUAGUAUCAAAUAGAUUUGUAGAUUUAAUUUGUUCAUCAAAGGAAAUAUAAGUUUGUAGAAAUGGU